rnacentral:lncRNA from 1 species
UUGUGUUAUGUUCAUCAAUGUACCAUUCUUACAAUGUCAUAUGAGUCGUUUUUAUAAGCAUGAAUUGUCUAUCAUAAUGAGCUAUUGACAAUGAGUAAAGUAUUUUACUUAUGAGAGGAUACUAGGAAUGAAAAUGUUUAUUACUAUGGAUAUCUACCAAAUAUUCAUUACACUCUUUGGAUUACACUCUUUGGAUGUCUACUAAGAAUAUACUAUAUUAAAAUCUUACUAGAAAAAAAAAACCAAUAAAAAACAAUUUUAGUGAAGGAAGAAUAGUACAUUUUCCUUUUCUAUGGGAUCUGACUCAUUAUAAACUUUAUUAGCAACACAUGUAUAACAUAGCCUUAUUAAAACAACAACCCGUGGAUCACCAAGAAGUCCAUCUCAAACACUCACAUUUCAACAGUGAAACAACUUUCAAACCAACUUACAAUAAAUCUUCAUCUUGAUUGGUGGGUCCAACAAGCACUACCAUUUGUGGGUCAAUCGACAACACCAAUUCAAUAUUUCCAUCAUGCCAACAUAACAAUACGUAUAUUAUUUCACCUUCCAUUGUGAUAUUUCACUUUCCAUUGUAAUAAGUACAUUAGGAAAAUUACCGCAACAAUUUAUAGAUCACAAUUUCCUACUAAUACCGAAAAGGUGGGAUUGCCACGAUAGAUAAGUUCAUAAAUUCUGCAAUCUAUUGUUGAAUAAUGUUGUGGGAACUUCUAGAAUCAAUGAGUAUAGUAACUUUUAAUUUAUGAAUAUGGCCCUGAAGUCGGAAGGUGUGUGGUGAUAGGGUUCCUCCAAUGCAACAUAUGAAAGCACCAAAUGACGCACUUGAUCAUAGUUUUAGAAUUUAAUCAAAAUGUUUGUAAGAUACCACUUUACAACAGUGGUUGCUCCAUAGAAUAUAAGAAGACGAGAAGUUUUAUGAAAUAAGUGCUUAUUAUUUCCAUAACUACUCAUGAAUAAGUAUUGUGUUUGUUUUCUUACAAACAAGCAUAGCUUGACACUUGUAAUUUGUUCAUUUACUUACUUGAAAACAAUAACCGACAGAAGAUGAAACUAUCGUGUCUUGCCGUUACUAAUUCCUCUAACUUGGGCUAAGAGAUAACCUUUCACCGACAAUGGUUUCUUACUAUUUCUAUUGGGCUUAUCCUUUAAUUUCCCAAUUAGACCAUCAUCUAUUUCCUUUGGUGGUUCUUUUUUUUUUUUUAAGUGUUUCAUUUGUUCAUUUGGACCGUUAUCUCUGGUAUACGCUCUUUCGGACUCCAAUAAGUGAUAUUAGAGUCAUGGUUCAACUUGGUGGGAGGAGCGGGAAUGAGAUCCUAGUGUGGAUCAAAUCUAUUAACAUGGAUGACUCACAUAUAAGGGGGAGAUUGUAGGAAUUCAAGUGUGAAUAGGUAGUUCCACGUCGACCAGAAUUAAAGAAUUGUUCAAUAUGUAAGUGAGGUGACCC